AUUGAACGCUGGCGGCAUGCCUUACACAUGCAAGUCGAACGGUAACAGGUUAAGCUGACGAGUGGCGAACGGGUGAGUAAUAUAUCGGAACGUGCCCAGUCGUGGGGGAUAACUGUUCGAAAGAGCAGCUAAUACCGCAUACGACCUGAGGGUGGAAGCGGGGGAUCGCAAGACCUCGCGCGAUUGGAGCGGCCGAUAUCAGAUUAGGUAGUUGGUGGGGUAAAGGCCCACCAAGCCAACGAUCUGUAGCUGGUCUGAGAGGACGACCAGCCACACUGGGACUGAGACACGGCCCAGACUCCUACGGGAGGCAGCAGUGGGAAUUUUGGACAAUGGGCGCAAGCCUGAUCCAGCCAUGCCGCGUGCGGGAAGAAGGCCUUCGGGUUGUAAACCGCUUUUGCCAGGGAAGAAAAGGUUCUGGUUAAUACCUGGGACUCAUGACGGUACCUGAAGAAUAAGCACCGGCUAACUACGUGCCAGCCGCCGCUGUAA
rnacentral:rRNA from 1 species